UAGAGUUUGAUCCUGGCUCAGAUUGAACGCUGGCGGCAUGCCUUACACAUGCAAGUCGAACGGCAGCACGGGCUUCGGCCUGGUGGCGAGUGGCGAACGGGUGAGUAAUACAUCGGAACGUGCCCUGUAGUGGGGGAUAACUAGUCGAAAGAUUAGCUAAUACCGCAUACGACCUGAGGGUGAAAGCGGGGGACCGCAAGGCCUCGCGCUACAGGAGCGGCCGAUGUCUGAUUAGCUAGUUGGUGGGGUAAAAGCCUACCAAGGCGACGAUCAGUAGCUGGUCUGAGAGGACGAUCAGCCACACUGGGACUGAGACACGGCCCAGACUCCUACGGGAGGCAGCAGUGGGGAAUUUUGGACAAUGGGGGCAACCCUGAUCCAGCAAUGCCGCGUGUGUGAAGAAGGCCUUCGGGUUGUAAAGCACUUUUGUCCGGAAAGAAAUGGCUCUGGUUAAUACCCGGGGUCGAUGACGGUACCGGAAGAAUAAGCACCGGCUAACUACGUGCCAGCAGCCGCGGUAAUACGUAGGGUGCGAGCGUUAAUCGGAAUUACUGGGCGUAAAGCGUGCGCAGGCGGUUUUGUAAGACAGGCGUGAAAUCCCCGAGCUCAACUUGGGAAUGGCGCUUGUGACUGCAAGGCUAGAGUAUGUCAGAGGGGGGUAGAAUUCCACGUGUAGCAGUGAAAUACGUAGAGAUGUGGAGGAAUACCGAUGGC
rnacentral:rRNA from 1 species